GCAGUAGCCGCGGUAAUACGAAGGGGGCUAGCGUUGUUCGGAAUCACUGGGCGUAAAGCGCACGUAGGCGGACUUUUAAGUCAGGGGUGAAAUCCCAAGGCUCAACCUUGGAACUGCCUUUGAUACUGGAAGUCUUGAGUUCGGGAGAGGUGAGUGGAACUGCGAGUGUAGAGGUGAAAUUCGUAGAUAUUCGCAAGAACACCAGUGGCGAAGGCGGCUCACUGGCCCGAUACUGGCGCUGAGGUGCGAAAGCGUGGGGAGCAAACAGGAUUAGAUACCCCUGUAGUCCCUGUCUCUUAUAU
rnacentral:rRNA from 1 species